UAUCUAAGCAACUCUACCCCGUUACCCUCUACAAGGCCAUAGACCAGCAGAGGGAAAAUGGGGGGUGGGUAAGGGUAAAGGUUUUUAAGAAUAAACCGCAAGGCAUUGCAGUAAUCCAGUCUCGAGGUAACAAAGGCGUUAAUAACCCUUUCUAGUUCUUUAAAAGAUAAAAAUGACUUGGUCUUAGCCAAUAGUCGUAUUUUGAAAAA